rnacentral:rRNA from 1 species
UACGUAGGUGGCGAGCGUUGUCCGGAAUUACUGGGUGUAAAGGGCGUGUAGGCGGGAAAUUAAGUCAGAUGUGAAAUUCCCAGGCUCAACUUGGGCGCUGCAUCUGAAACUAAUUUUCUUGAGUGCUGGAGAGGAAAGCGGAAUUCCUAGUGUAGCGGUGAAAUGCGUAGAUAUUAGGAGGAACACCAGUGGCGAAGGCGGCUUUCUGGACAGUAACUGACGCUGAGGCGCGAAAGCGUGGGGAGCAAACAGG